GGGCAUCUUGGAGAGUCAGCAUCCACAAUGCUCUCAGACGAAUAGGAGACUUUUGUCGCAUGACUUCUUGUCAGAUUCUGUUCAGUUCCCAUGGCAGAGAGCUGUUUUUCAUAACGGCGUCCCUUAUUAUAUCAAUCAUGAGCAGCAGAGCACCUCCUGGGAUCAUCCAGAGAUGACACAACUAUUUCAGUCAA